GGGCUCGUAGCUCAGCGGGGGAGCGCCGCCUUCACACGGCGGAGGUCGCUGGUUCGAACCCAGCCGGGCCCA
rnacentral:tRNA from 1 species